rnacentral:lncRNA from 1 species
AAGAAUGAAGAAAAGCUGUCCAUCUUCUGAGAAGGAAGCAGCAUGUGCCAUCCUUCUGUCAGAAAACACCAAAGAGAUGAAGAAAUGAGAAAUCCAGAAACCAAAGACCUUGCUCUUUUGUCAAACAGACUUGGUAGAGCAGAGUUGCAAAAUCAGACCUUUGGGGGCUUGCGUGUUUCUCCUCUUACUCCCUGGUGCCAACUGUACGGAAAGUCUACAUUGGCUCGGAACAAUUGAGGCUGGGAGAGGACCUCAGGACGAGGACAUGCAGAAAAAGUGCUGAGUGUUCUUUAAAGCAGUAGCAAACCAUGGGUUUGGCUGGUGAUUUCCUGCUUGGUCGUCUUUUAAAACCCAGCCAUCUGAAUCCGAGAGUUGCUUCUUCAGCAAGGCCUCCCCUGACUCCUUCAGAUGUCUAAGCACCACCCCUACUCUUCUGCUGCAGCAUCUCCACUUGCUUUUGUCCUUCAUCUCCCUGAAAUUAUUUGCUUACUCAUCCAUCCAUGUCAGUUGCAAAAGCAUGACUUCCUCUAGUCCAAAGGCCAUUCAUGUUCAAUAUGUUAGCACUCGGAGCGUCUCCAGUGGUUGUUUCAAACAAGGCAAAUGAGUUCAGUUGAACUUUAUAUGUUCUGCCCUCCGACUGUGACUGUUAUUUACUUCCCUCCAAACAAAAUGUAAUAAUAAAAUGACUAACUGAA